UACGUAGGGUGCGAGCGUUGUCCGGAAUUAUUGGGCGUAAAGAGCUCGUAGGCGGUGUGUCGCGUCGGUCGUGAAAACUUGGGGCUUAACUCUGAGCUUGCGGUCGAUACGGGCAUCACUUGAGUUCGGCAGGGGAGACUGGAAUUCCUGGUGUAGCGGUGAAAUGCGCAGAUAUCAGGAGGAACACCAAUGGCGAAGGCAGCACUCUGGGACGGUACUGACGCUGAGACGCGAAAGCGUGGGGAGCAAACAGG
rnacentral:rRNA from 1 species